CCGAUUCAAAGAGCCGACUCAAAGAUCCGAUUCGUCCGUGAGGCGACACGUUUUUCUUCACCAGAGAAAACACCGAGUGAAUUUCUGAGUGAUGUGAUGCACCUCAACCCUGUAACUAUAGUACACACUACUUCAUCUAGCAACCAAUCGGGUUAUCAUAGCAACCACCUGCCAUGCCCUUAUUGAUCUUUAUUCUGCACCAUGUGGGGUCAUCCUCAUCAACAGUGAGUGAUUUCCACUGAUGAGAACUCCAACCAGAAGUAGGUCAUCGGGAUGGAUCAGGUAGGUCUGGAGAGCAGAAGGGGUCAGGAUCACUGGUAUCUCAGGAGUAUCAUGUGUAACUUGACAGAAAGAGAGAGAGAGAUUAUUAGGUAUGCUUAUUGUCCUGUAAUGGUUCAGGACAAUGUACUUUGUGUGAGUGAAAGCAGGGACUCCGACAAGACUAGCUAUGACAUCAUAACUAAAAGAUAGAACCAGAAGGUAACACAGACAUGAGGGCUUCCUGGGACAUAAGACGACCAGCCACUCCACCAUCAAAAAACCUGGGUGAAUGUUCACCACAACACUCUAUACCUGUUCACUCAGGUACUACUAUUCAGAGCUUUAAAGGUCAAUAGUAAUAUUUUAUAAUCAAUGCAAGAUUUCACUGGGAGCCAGUGCAGUGUGGAUAAGAUCGGGGUGAUGUUGUAUCUUCUGGUUCUAGUUAGGACUCUAGCAGCUGCAUUCUGGACUAACUGGAGCUUGUUUAUGCUCCUACUGGAACAUCCAGACAGUAAGGCAUUACAGUAAUCUAGUCUAGAGGUGACGAACGCAUGAACUAAUAUUUCUGCAUCAUGUAGUGACAAUAUAUUUCUUAUCUUAGAAAUAUUUCUGAGAUAAAAGAAGACUAUCCUAGUAAUAUUAUCUACAUGAGCAUCAGAUGAUAGACUGGAGUUAAGAAUCACUCCAAGCUCUUUCACUGCUGCACACAGGGUGUCCAUGGGUCCUUAAAAAGUCUUAAAUUCAUAUUUUAAAGGUCUUAAAAAUGCAGUGGAACCGACACGGUAAAGCAGAUGUAGAUGUUAUUUUGGCGGGUUGCAGUGUGUGAUGGUAAAGCCGUGUGACUGUGUUGCAUCCGUAGUGUGUGUGCGGCUAGUCAUUAGAGCCUCUCGGUUCGCGGUAAACGCCGCUCUACACCAACUUCAUCUCUGUGAAGUUUGAGUCGCUUUUAACCUGCAUUUAGACACAACACUCGCCAGAUUCAAAAAAGGAUAUUUGCUCUAUAGUUUACUUAAACCCUGACAUGGAUGUAUCUACAUGAACACAAUCCAUUAUAGCUGGUGUAUCGUGUAGCAUGAUUGAAGUGACGUGCAGGUCUUACAUUUUUUUGGAAAUGUCUUGAAUAAUGUAUUAAGAAGUAUUAAAUUAUGAAAUUAUUUUUUAAAAAUCUUGAGUGCCAUUAGUAAAUAAUGUGUUCGUCUUCCUUUCUCAUAUACACAUGUAACCCUCUUCGUCGCUGUUCUCCCCCCAACGUCUCUGUGUUGAGUUGAUGUGAGAGGUGAAUGAGGAGAACACCAAGAUCACAGUUGAGUCAAAGCAGAGCAGCUUUCAUUGUUUUAGGCUCUUUAUCCACAUCAGCCUCUGUGCAGCAAACAUCAACAUCUCCCACAAGCAUCUCAGAACUGCGACAGCGUCCCGCAAGAAACCCAACUGUACCACAAGGACACAGAACUGUGUUAGUUACCAAUCAACAUCCAAAUAACAACGCAUACAGAAUUAUACAAGGAAAUAAUGUAGUUAAAUUAACACUAAUCACAUGACCAACAGAAAAAUAGACCUGAACAUAUGACAAAUAAAGAUCAAUGUCAGAUGUACCCAAAUAAACCUCCAGGGUUCCCACGGGUCGUGGAAUUUCUGGAAUGUAAUGGAAAUUUAAUAAAGUCUAUUCCAGUCACGGAAAGUCAGGGAAUUAUCAUUCUGGGGUUGAAGUCAGGGAAUUUUGUUUGUAAUUUUUUUUUAAUGUAUCAGCUAAAAUGUGAUCCUAUAGAAUCUAUAUUCUAUAGAGAGAGAAAAUUUGUUUGUUUGUUUUACACAGUGUGCUCAUUUGCUGAAUGUGACAGUGUUAUUGGAUAAAAAUGUAAUUAAAAUGGCUUACAGUA